rnacentral:rRNA from 1 species
UACGUAGGGGCCGAGCGUUGUCCGGAUUCAUUGGGCGUAAAGAGCUCGUAGGCGGUUCGGUAAGUCGGGUGUGAAACCUCCAGGCUCAACCUGGAGACGCCACCCGAUACUGCUGUGACUUGAGUCCGGUAGGGGAGCGUGGAAUUCCUGGUGUAGCGGUGAAAUGCGCAGAUAUCAGGAGGAACACCAGCGGCGAAGGCGGCGCUCUGGGCCGGAACUGACGCUGAGGAGCGAAAGCGUGGGUAGCAAACAGG